rnacentral:rRNA from 1 species
GUGCCAGCAGCCGCGGUAAGACAGAGGAGCCAAGCGUUGUCCGGAUUGACUGGGCGUAAAGCGCACGCAGGCGGCUCGGCGCGUGGGGUGUGAAAGCUGGCGGCUUAACUGCCAGACGCCAUCCCAUACGGCUGGGCUCGAGCCCUGCAGAGGUCCAUGGAAUUGCCGGUGUAGUGGUGAAAUGCGUAGAGAUCGGCAGGAACACCCAGGGGGAAACCAGUGGACUGGGCAGGAGCUAACGCUCAGGUGCGAAAGCGUGGGGAGCGAACCGGAUUAGAUACCCCGGUAGUCC